UACGCGCCAAUCGCCCGGACAGCAAUAAAACAAUAAUUAAGCGCGCCAGGUACUACGUGAGAAACGGCACGUACCUAUGCGGCGGGCGAAAGGUCGUCGGCGGGUGUCCGGCUCGGGUUCGCUCUAUACUCUGACGGACUCUCCGGCGACAAAGUUUAGUAGUAGACAAAGUAUUGGCCGCCGGUUUGUUAUUAUUGCGGUUGUUUACGUGUUU